UACGAAGGGGGCUAGCGUUGCUCGGAAUCACUGGGCGUAAAGGGUGCGUAGGCGGGUUUUUAAGUCAGGGGUGAAAUCCUGGAGCUCAACUCCAGAACUGCCUUUGAUACUGAAGAUCUUGAGUCCGGGAGAGGUGAGUGGAACUGCGAGUGUAGAGGUGAAAUUCGUAGAUAUUCGCAAGAACACCAGUGGCGAAGGCGGCUCACUGGUCCGGUACUGACGCUGAGGUGCGAAAGCGUGGGGAGCAAACAGG
rnacentral:rRNA from 1 species